UUUUCGUAUCCAAAUAUUUCAGAUCCGUAGGUCAGAAUAGGGAGCACAGUGUGGUCAAACAGCUUUAUAAUGAGGUCGAUUGGGAGGCUGGCAUUGUUUGCCCUUGUGAAAAGGAACGUUUGAAGUGCUGUGUUGUGAAAAAUGGACUGUAGUUCGCUGGUUAUAAAUUCAACUGUUUCCUUGGAUUGAGGGUUACGCAGAGCGCCUCUCCCCCCUUGGGCCUAUUUGUGAGAGUUUGAGGGAUUUGCACAGCUCGUGUUCAGGGGAUCCAAAUGAACAUCGUUUUCAUUAGUGUUUGUGUGAGCAGUUUGGAGAGUUCUGGAAUUAACACCUGCUGCAGAUCGAUCAGUGUUUGUUUGGGUGUUCUUUGACUUUGAUGUCCAUGGGCGCUGGAAAGCGGAUUCCCCCGAGGCAGACGAUCUUUGGUUUAUCGGGGCGUGUGUGCGUCUUCUUGCUGGAGCAGGAGAUUCAGAUUGAGGACGCCUGGAAAUGUGUGUAUGUCCAUUUGACGAGGAGGUUAUUUUGUUGGUGUGGAUUUCCUGGACUGUUGGAUUUGGGGCUCCUUCAUAGUGCUCUAUGGACUGUGUAUUGUGGAUUUGACUGUGCUGCGUGACUUGUGGAGUGGGCACCUCAUCGCCAGAAGCGGGCUUAUGGUUUCCUUCAAAUUGUUGGGAUUUUGAACUAAGUGAUUUUGGACUAUAGUUGCUGUUUGGAGAAUAGUUGUGCUGCGUGGCAUGUGGAAUGGACGUCUCAUUGCCAUAAACAGAUUUGUGGUUCACUUCGUAUUGGUGGGGUUUCAAACUAAGUGAUUGGUGACUAUAGUUGCCGUUUGGAGAAUGGUGGACAUUGGUCGUGAUUCUGUCGCUAUUUAGGACUUGGCUCCAAUCAGGGAACAUGUCUGCCACGACACGACCAUCUGCCACUAUCUUUGCUGGGAAGACAAUGCUUAUUUUGCUCUUUGGAUGCAUACCACGGAGUCUUUUGAGCUCUGGCCACAGAGUUUUGCGAGCAUUUACAAUCUCUUUUGGGAAGUCUCUAUUUAUGUGAAAAUUUGUAUUUCUUAAUUUAUUUGCAUUUGCCAAUAUAAGCUCUGUGUCUCUAAAGUCAAGGAAAUAAACGAUGAUAGCUCUUGUAGAAUUUGAGCGGAAUCUACCUAGCCUGUGUGCUCUAGGGAUUGCAGGGCAUGGGUCAAUUUGGAGUUUGUCUUUCAGGAACCUGGCAAUUAAAGAAUGGCAGUCUUCACCUUUCAUUUCAUCUAUGCCACCUAUAAUUAGGUUAUUUCUCCGGCUUCUUGCUUCUAAAUCAAUUGACUUAUAUUCGAGUAAUUUCAGUCUCACAUCAUGUUGGUAUACUGAAUUUUCUAUAGAUUUCACUUGGUUGUGUAAGCUCAGACAGUCAUCAACUUUCUGUUCAAUACUGCUCAUCCGUGCAAACAUUACACACAGUUUAUCAUCAGUAUUUAGGCUUCCAUAUUCAUGUUGUGAUAUUGAAUGCUCCUCACCUUGAGUACUUUGACUGCCCGUGUUUACUCGUGCCCGUUUUCUUGAGUCGGCCAUUCCUUUGUUUGCUAGAACGUUAAACUGGUUUUCUGUCACAAACACGUCAUACUCACUGUUAUUGUACAAGUUUUUAUUGCUUGAAUGAUCCAUUGUUGCACAUCUUAUUUAAUGCUAUUAAAAUAUUAUAAAACGUU